rnacentral:ncRNA from 1 species
AACAGGGAGCUUGUAUAACAGGCUGAGAGGAAGGUAGCCCUUCGACCUAUUACCUGAUUUGGAUAAUGCCAACGUAGGGAUUUGCUAU